rnacentral:rRNA from 1 species
UACGUAGGGGGCGAGCGUUGUCCGAAGUUACUGGGCGUAAAGCGCGCGUAGGCGGGUUGGCAAGUCUGCUGUGAAAGCCCGGAGCUUAACUCCGGAGGUCGGUGGAUACUGCCAGUCUUGAAGGUGCUAGGGAGAGAUGGAAUUACAGGUGUAGCGGUGAAAUGCGUAGAUAUCUGUAGGAACACCAGUGACGAAGGCCGGUCUCUUGGGGCAUUCUUGACGCUGAGGCGCGAAAGCUGGGGGAGCGAACGGG